rnacentral:rRNA from 1 species
CUGCGGUGAAUACGUUCCCGGGUCUUGUACACACCGCCCGUCAAGCCAUGAAAGUCGCCAACACCCGAAGUCCGGCGUUCGCCGGCCUAAGGUGGGGGAGAUGAUUGGGGUU